CUGACAGCCCUGGAGAACGAAGUGCUCUGUUUAGCCAUAGGACAGCAUAGGCAGCAGCAGUGCUCACCAACGGCUCUGCUUUGUCACCGUGCCUUCACCACGACUUUAGCCCCCCUUUAGCAAUGCACCUAAUCAAGUUCCAAAGUCAGCAAGUGUGAACGCUCUUGCGGUAUUUUGUCAGCACUUUUGCCGAC
rnacentral:sRNA from 1 species